rnacentral:rRNA from 1 species
AGCGAACGCUGGCGGCAGGCCUAACACAUGCAAGUCGAACGAAGUCUUCGGACUUAGUGGCGGACGGGUGAGUAACACGUGGGAACGUACCUUUUGGUUCGGAACAACUCAGGGAAACUUGAGCUAAUACCGGAUGAGCCCUUAGGGGGAAAGAUUCAUCGCCGAAAGAGCGGCCCGCGUUAGAUUAGAUAGUUGGUGAGGUAAAGGCUCACCAAGGCUACGAUCUAUAGCUGGUCUGAGAGGAUGAUCAGCCACACUGGGAAUGGGACACGGCCCAGACUCCUACGGGAGGCAGCAGUGGGGAAUCUUCCGCAAUGGGCGAAAGCCUGACGCAGCCAUGCCGCGUGAAUGAUGAAGGUCUUAGGAUUGUAAAAUUCUUUUACCAGGGACGAUAAUGACGGUACCUGGAGAAAAAGCCCCGGCUAACUUCGUGCCAGCCGCCGCCGUAACAC